UGGGUAACCUGCCUCAAAGAGGGGAAUAGCCUCCCGAAAGGGAGAUUAAUACCGCAUAAUAUGUUUUAAUCGCAUGAUUUUAACAUCAAAGGAUUUUCUUAAGGAAAAUUCCACUUUGAGAUGGACCCGCGGCGCAUUAGCUAGUUGGUGAGGUAACGGCUCACCAAGGCAACGAUGCGUAGCCGACCUGAGAGGGUGAUCGGCCACAUUGGAACUGAGACCACGGUCCAGACCUCCCGUAGGGACGG
rnacentral:rRNA from 1 species